rnacentral:SRP_RNA from 1 species
UCCGGGCGUGGUGGCGGGCGCCUGUAGUCCCAGCUACAUGGGAGGCUGAAACAGGAGAGUCGCUUGAAACUGGGAGGCAGAGGUUACAGUGAGCCGAGAUCCUGCCACUGCACUCCAGCCUGGGUGACAGAGCAAGACUCCAUNNNNNNNNNNAUGGAGUCUUGCUCUGUCACCCAGGCUGGAGUGCAGUGGCAGGAUCUCGGCUCACUGUAACCUCUGCCUCCCAGUUUCAAGCGACUCUCCUGUUUCAG